GAAGGCGAGAGGAACUAGGAGCUCAUCUCUCCUCCCAUGGCUGCCUCGUGGAUCUGGAGGUGCAGGCGGCUCGAGCGAUGCAAGCCGGCGGCGAACUAGAUCAUGCUAUGUUUUAGCGCUCAUGGAGUUCCUCUGGCAUACGUUGAGUCUGGUGAUCCUUACAAAACAUAUAUGGAAGGCUAUGGAUCUUAUCAUGGAUGAGCUCGAAAAUAUAGGAAUUUCAAAUCCAUGUAUACAUCACACUCAUACCCGAAACUGAACAGGGACAAGCACAUGCAAUUAUAUGCUGUGGUAGAUUUCAAAAGAGACCCAUGGCCCAGAGUAGUUUUGCGCAAAUGAAGGAUACCAGGCUGACCCAUAGAGCAUGAGACCCUCUUUGUCAGGGGCCACCUUACUUGUAUGGCCUCAGGCUGAGGGGACCCUUCUAAUUAAGAUCCUAUGCGCCUGCCUCCUUCCUCCAGCUGCGUGAAGGCUAACGUGAGGAGCUGACGAGCUAAAGAAGGAGCUGGAGCAGGACUGUAGGAGGGAGGUACACUAGGGGCCGGAGCAGGACAACCAUUGUUUCAGAUCCACUUGACUCAUCCCAAGUGGUUGCAAUGUAAUUUUUAUUUACACACAUAAUGAUAAGAGACUUAUUUUUUCCAAAAGAUUAGAUUCAUAGUUUAAAAAAGGAUACAAAAAUAUGAAAAUAAGAGCUUUCGUUCAUAACAUUUGUACAAAAUGUCCCUUUCCAUAAUGAACUUGGUUUCUAAUCACACACAUGUACUGCUACAUGAUCCUAUACGUGCUGUCUGAAUUAAGUGAAAGGAUAUUGGCAUUUUAUCUACCGGUUAAUCAGGACUUAUUGACAGGGACUUUGAUAAUUUCUUAAUCUUGCACGGGUUCUCACCAUUGAGAUUGCAUAUCUGGUCCUUACAUCAGAUAUGCUUCUAGAUCUGAAGUUAUUCCAGCCUAACUGUUUUUUUGUUUGAUUAUUCUAUUAUUUCUUUUGAGUAAUACCGACUGACUUACUGGUCGUCUGAAGCUUUCAUAGAAGCAUUUGUGUGUUCUCGAGCUUAGGUGUAAGGAGUUCAAGGGCAGUGAUAGAAUUUUGUGAUCUGCUUCAGACGGGCCUGCCGCUGAAAAAUGAUCCUUAACUCAUUAGCUAUCUUGAUCUUCAGCAUGUUUGGUUAGUAAGGCACAUUAUUUUGGCCCGAGCUUGUGGUAUCGCAAUGACAGGUGGGCCGGUGCUGCUCCUGGUCCCGCUUGUCGGCUGCCCUGGGUUAGGAUAAUAGGGGCAUGGUUUAUAUUGUCUAUUCUUUCUGCUUGAUCAGCUUACAAUCAGAUUGGUGUAGUGGAGCUAAAAAUACAUUGGCUGGUUGUCUCUUGGUUUGGCAGAAAGCGCAGCAUGUCAAAUUGAUCGGUGUCCAUCUCCCUCAAUUUCUGCAUAUUUAUAUUUGGGAAGUCCAUGGACAUUGUCAUAAUGGUCACCUUAUCGCAGUGUGUUAUUUUUGGAUCUCAUAUUCCUCAAGGCGCUCCAUUCUCUGAUUCGAUGUCUGACGAUCUGAGAAAUAAGAGGAGGAAUAAUCCAGCAGAAGAAUUUGGUGAAGAAGAACAAGAAAAGAAUACCUUUAUCCUGAUAGGCAUGGAAACACCGGUUCGCAUUGAGUGCAUCAUCGCCAAUCAGCUACUAUUAGAGAGCAAGGGACAUAUAAGAAAUCUCCAGGCAGCUUCACUUAGAUGCAUCAUCUUCUGCUAGGAGUCAGCUUGAAGAACGGCCUUCUCAGGAGACUGCAACUGACAUGCUGGAUGGGGAAUAACCAAAUUUGUGGACAAAGACACAGUUCAUCGCAAGGGGUGGUGUUUAGGAUAUGUACACAAAAGAGGAAACUUUUUUUGUACAGAACCAAAUUAUAUGAUGUAUUUGACCACUAUUUCUAAGAAAUGUUCAUCAUGUAUUAAGUACAUUUUAUUGUGUCACUUUUUUUUGAGGGGUAGCUUUAUUCAUCAAACAUCACAAAGUGUGCGAUAGAGUUCAUCAAACCAGGCUUUAUUGUGUCACCUAUGUUUACCUUCUUUUUAGCGUAAGCUAUUUGGACUUUCUAAUUGCAGGCUCAGUUAUUUGACC